rnacentral:lncRNA from 1 species
AGAUUGCAGGAUCCAGGAAGGCAGGAACCUGGCUGCCUUUAUUACUACUGGAAGCACAUAGAAUAGGACCAGACAAAAACGACAAAGUGAGAAGAUGGCUGCCUGCAAGCCAGGAAGAGGGUCCUCACCAGGAAACAAAUUUUGGAGUUGAACAAGCCUCCAGAAUUGGACUUCAGCUUCUGUACUGAAUCCGAGGACCUCAACCUCUGUACUGAAUCAACCUCUGUACCGAAUCUACUUAUGCUUGCAGCUCCUGUCAUUCCAGUUGAAGACAGACCACAUGACAUUCUACAGAUGGCUGCAUGUAAGCAUUUAAAACCUUUGAGAAAAUACAGUGCACCAGGGAGACUAUUAUUAUGACUAUUGGGAGGAUAAUACCAAGAGUUUGGAGUAUGCUGCUUACCCAAGGUCACCACAAGCCAAACCUCCUAAAAUCAAAUGGAUCAAAAAAUAAGCUAGAUAAAGAGUGUGCUCACUUAACUAAGUAGUCUCUUUGUUAAUCCCCUACCACUGAAUUUCUAUAAUCUUCAUUUGAUGUAUUUUUCCAUAGGCCACAAGUGCUAGUGGCUGCACAGCUGCUUCUUUGUUUAGCCAAUUCUAUUAUAACUUUCACAAAAGAAUUUAAAGUCUGUUGCAUAACUGUAGCCUUUACAGUAGAAUUUGCUAUAGAUGUUAUCAUGGGAAAUACAUUUCUAAUCAUUGCCUCUUUUACUUUAAACCACAGAAAAAGGAACUAACAAAUGAUCCCUUUUAGAAGAGUGAAGGCCUCCUGGCAAUGUUCUCUUUAACCCAUGAUGUGAGUUAAGAGGAAUCAACCAAUGUUUUGUUUUUGACUGAUUAUGAGGCAACGUACAUACCAUUAAAGUUCCUUACCUACAUUGGGCCUUCAUCUUUUAUCUAUCAAAGUAUAAGUUUAUGUAUAAGGCUGGCUAUAAACUUCUUCACAAAUAAAAGUACACCCCGUAAGUGCACGUAACAGACCCCUUUUCCACUUGUAUUGUUUAUAAAGGCAUAAGCAAGGGAAAAUAUUCAAAGAUAAGAGUUUCAUGAUAGAAGUCUUCAUCUGCCAACUUGGGAAAAGCUAUUCACAUUAAGGAUUCCAUCUUUUUCUUGGAAGACAUUUCCCUGGUUAGUUUUACCUUAAGG